rnacentral:rRNA from 1 species
CUCAACGGCUAAAAGAUGAGCAUGCGUCCCAUUAGCUAUUUGGUAAGGAAACGGCUUACCAAGGCGACGAUGCGCAUGGGUCCUGAGAGGGAGAUCCCCCACACUGGUACUGAGACACGGACCAUACUCCUACGGGAGGCAGCGGUGAGGAAUAUUGGUCAUUGGACGCAAGUCUGAACCGGCCAUGCCGCGUGCAGGAUGACUGUCCUAUGGAUUGUAAACUGCUUUUGUACGAGAAGAAACCCUCCAACGUGUUGGAGCUUGACGGUAUCGUAAGAAUAAGGAUCGGCUAACUCCGUGCCAGCAGCCGCGGUCCUACGGAGGAUCCAAGCGUUAUCCGGAAUCAUUGGGUUUAAAGGGUCCGUAGGCGGUUUAGUAAGUCAGUGGUGAAAGCCCAUCGCUCAACGGUGGAACGGCCAUUGAUACUGCUAGACUUGAAUUAUUAGGAAGUAUCUACAAUAUGUAGUGUAGCGGUGAAAUGCUUAUAGAUUACAUGGAAUACCAAUUGGUAAGGCAGGUUACUACUAAUGGAUUGACGCUGAUGGACGAAAGCGUGG